UACGGAGGGCGCAAGCGUUGUUCGGAAUCAAUGGGCGUAAAGCGCGUGUAGGCGGGCUUGUCAGUCGGGUGUGAAAUACCGGAGCUCAACUCCGGAACUGCAUUCGAUACUGCCAGGCUAGAGCCCCGGAGAGGGUGGUGGAAUUCCCGGUGUAGAGGUGAAAUUCGUAGAUAUCGGGAGGAACACCAGCGGCGAAGGCGGCCACCUGGACGGUGACUGACGCUGAGACGCGAAAGCGUGGGGAGCAAACAGG
rnacentral:rRNA from 1 species